UAUUAGAGGUCCCGCCUGCCCUGUGAACUGAAAAAUUUAACGGCCGCGGUAUUCUGACCGUGCAAAGGUAGCGUAAUCAUUUGUCUUUUAAAUAAGGACCUGUAUGAAUGGCAUCACGAGGGCUCAACUGUCUCCUUCCCCUAAUCAGUGAAAUUGAUCUGUCCGUGCAGAAGCGGGCAUGAAAACAUAAGACGAGAAGACCCUAUGGAGCUUAAGGUAUAAGAUCACACACGAUUAGUAGUCUAGACCCGAUAGGAAUAAAGAACUAAGUUUCAAUGUGUCGGUUGAUCGGAUUGUCUUCGGUUGGGGCGACCGCGGAGGAAAGAAAAGCCUCCAUGUGGAGUGGGGAAAUACUCCCUAGAGCUAAGAGUCACAGCUCUAAGAAGCAGAAUAUCUGACCAAAAAUGAUCCAGGCUUAGGGCCUGAUCAACGAACCAAGUUACCCUAGGGAUAACAGCGCAAUCCUUUCUCAGAGUUCAUAUCGACGAAAGGGUUUACGACCUCGAUGUUGGAUCGGGACAUCCUAAUGGUGCAGCCGCUAUUAAGGGUUCGUUUGU
rnacentral:rRNA from 1 species